UACGGAGGGAGCUAGCGUUGUUCGGAAUUACUGGGCGUAAAGAGCGUGUAGGCGGUUUAUCAAGUUGGGAGUAAAAGCCCGAAGCUUAACUUCGGAACUGCUUUCAAAACUGGUAGACUAGAGAUAGGUAGAGGAUGGUGGAAUUCCUAGUGUAGAGGUGAAAUUCGUAGAUAUUAGGAGGAACACCAAUGGCGAAGGCAGAUCUCUGGGCCGUAACUGACGCUGAGGAGCGAAAGCAUGGGGAGCGAACAGG
rnacentral:rRNA from 1 species